GUCUCAGCAGCCUCGGAAGUCACAGUCAGCCCCUAGGCUCCCUCAGGGUAGAGCACCUAGUGGGACCUGUGCUGGCUCCACCAGAUCCAGCAGCCUAUGUACUCCUCAGUGGAUCCCACCCUCGAGUUUUGCCUCCUAUUGAAAACGUCCCCUUUCCCUCCUCUCCAGUGUCUGUCCUCACUUCACCUAUCCCAAAGCCAAGACCCACUAAAUUUCCAAGACGUGGUUUAAAUAUCUUCAGGCACCUUUCCACUGUAUUUUGGGGCACACUCCUGCCAAAUCCACUCUUGUAAUCUACAGGGUGUGGGACUUUAGCUUUGGGAAUAUUCG
ensembl:lncRNA novel transcript, antisense to FGF11